rnacentral:rRNA from 1 species
GUUAAGCGACUAAGCGUACACGGUGGAUGCCCUGGCAGUCAGAGGCGAUGAAGGACGUGCUAAUCUGCGAUAAGCGUCGGUAAGGUGAUAUGAACCGUUAUAACCGGCGAUUUCCGAAUGGGGAAACCCAGUGUGAUUCGUCACACUAUCAUUAACUGAAUCCAUAGGUUAAUGAGGCGAACCGGGGGAACUGAAACAUCUAAGUACCCCGAGGAAAAGAAAUCAACCGAGAUUCCCCCAGUAGCGGCGAGCGAACGGGGAGCAGCCCAGAGCCUGAAUCAGUGUGUGUGUUAGUGGAAGCGUCUGGAAAGGCGCGCGAUACAGGGUGACAGCCCCGUACACAAAAAUGCACAUGCUGUGAGCUCGAUGAGUAGGGCGGGACACGUGGUAUCCUGUCUGAAUAUGGGGGGACCAUCCUCCAAGGCUAAAUACUCCUGACUGACCGAUAGUGAACCAGUACCGUGAGGGAAAGGCGAAAAGAACCCCGGCGAGGG